CACACUUUUGCAGGAUCAGUGCACAGCUUUAGCUUAAGCUGCAGUGGCUGUAUUUGAGUGACUUGAAAAAGACUGCCUUGCACUUCAGGUACCCCAGAUACCCUGAUCUUAAGGGCAUUGAAGCACGUAUCUGGCAGCUUACUCCCCUCUUCCAUCUUUCACUGGGCACUAGGUUUUAAAAGCUUGGCUUUCAGAGCCCCAGAACUGGAUUCUUAGAUAACUGUUACUAUGUCAUGUUCCUGUGAUGAGACCAGAUAUCAUCAGGUUUGAAGGAAAUGUGGAACAAUAUUCCUGGGAAGUUGUGGAGUUAAGCCAACUCCUUCAGCAAAUAAAUACGUCUUAAUUCUGGUCAAAAUGCACGCAGAGGAAAAAUCAAAACAGAGGUAACUGAUUUAAAAGACCUGCGGAUAUGGUAAUAAUAAUUACAGUUGGGAGUACAGGGAAAGUUCAGUAAUGGUGUAAUUAUGUAAGGUAUUAGGAAAUAGGACACCUACUUAUUCACCUCACAGAAUAAAUUGCAUUUGUGCAAACAUGAUUGUCCAAAUGGGUGUAGCAAGGACCUGAUACUAAGUGACAUAGCGCCUCUUCAGCUUUGAAUCAUUUGCCUUUUUACCAGUAUUUAAAUUUACCUACUGCCUUUCAGAACCAAUACUUAUGCUACGUCUUUUAAAAACGCUUGUUUUACCCAAUUUCUCUUCCUUGUACCAUCACUGCUGAAUGUGCGUGUCAUCAUCGUGCAUCUUUCUACACUCCCAGCUGAAAUGUGUCAUCUCUCCCAUAUACAAGGAGCAGGAGGAUGCAAAAAUAUUUAUUUUGUUCAAAUGCCAAAAGGUACUUUUUGAUAUUUUAUAUGAAGACAAACAUUCAGCAAACCUGACCGGCUACUACCCAUCACUAGCUCUGUCCUGUCAAAACUGGUUUUUGAGGGCUAAAGGAUCAUUCUGUCUUCCUGAGGGCUGCGGCGAACUCUAAAGUUUUCCACAGGGACCUGGGGAAACGUUUGCCUCGGGGAUAAGGCAGAUCCUGAAAAUUAGUUCUGCUGUGAAAAUCGCCAGCAAAGAUUUCCAAAGGAGUUCAGUUGCAAGUUGGUACAAUUUCGCAGCCAUUACGGGAAAGGUUAAUUUUUUUUGUCUGAAUCUUCCCCUGAGCAAAUCGAUUCAACGAGGCUGUCUAACCUUCUCCAUUAACAUUUCCUUUAGGUACUUCAGCCAGGACAGGAGCCAAAUUCUAAAGGCUUUUUAUUAUUUAAGGAUAUUUCAACACCAGUUAAGAGUCUUCCCAAAUUGUCUUUUCUUCUUUCUUUUUUUAAAUGUGGUCUAGCGCCCUCAUGUGGCGCUGAAAAAAAUUCAAUCACAGACCAGGGACAAGUCAUCUUCUCCCCUUGAUUGGUAAUAGCCAGGGGUCCCCUGGAGUCUCUUUUUUCUCAUUAGCUCUUCUAGCGUGACUUUCUCCAUCAGGCAAUUUGGCAGCUUCCACACAUUAGGCUGUUCUUGAGCUAUUGGCAGGACGUCAUGGCGAGUACCUUUAAAACAGGCUCCAUAGAUGACUACAG